CCUACGGGAGGCAGCAGUGAGGAAUAUUGGUCAAUGGGCGCGAGCCUGAACCAGCCAAGUCGCGUGAAGGAUGACGGUCCUACGGGUUGUAAACUUCUUUUAUAAAGGAAUAAAGUGAGCCACGCGUGCCGUUCCGAAUGUACUCUAUGAAUAAGGAUCGGCUAACUCCGUGCCAGCAGCCGCGGUAAUACGGAGGAUGCGAGCGUUAUCCGGAUUUAUUGGGUUUAAAGGGGGCGUAGAUGGGUUGUUAAGUCAGUUGUGAAAGUUUGCGGCUCAAACGGGAAAUUGCAAUUGAUACUGGCAGUCUUGAGUACAGUUGAAGUAGGCGGAAUUCGUGGUGUAGCGGUGAAAUGCUUAGAUAUCACGAAGAACUCCGAUUGCGAAGGCAGCAUACUAA
rnacentral:rRNA from 1 species